rnacentral:rRNA from 1 species
AGAGUUUGAUCCUGGCUCAGGAUGAACGCUAGCUACAGGCUUAACACAUGCAAGUCGAGGGGCAGCAUGGUCUUAGCUUGCUAAGGCCGAUGGCGACCGGCGCACGGGUGAGUAACGCGUAUCCAACCUGCCUUACACUCUUGGACAGCCUUCUGAAAGGGAGAUUAAUACAAGAUGUUAUCAUGAGUAAGCAUUUUCGCAUGAUUAAAGGUUUACCGGUGUAAGAUGGGGAUGCGUUCCAUUAGAUAGUAGGCGGGGUAACGGCCCACCAAGCCUUCGAUGGAUAGGGGUUCUGAGAGGAAGGUCCCCCACAUUGGAACUGAGACACGGUCCAAACUCCUACGGGAGGCAGCAGUGAGGAAUAUUGGUCAAUGGACGAGAGUCUGAACCAGCCAAGUAGCGUGAAGGAUGACUGCCCUAUGGGUUGUAAACUUCUUUUAUAAAGGAAUAAAGUCGGGUAUGCAUACCCGUUUGCAUGUACUUUAUGAAUAAGGAUCGGCUAACUCCGUGCCAGCAGCCGCGGUAAUACGGAGGAUCCGAGCGUUAUCCGGAUUUAUUGGGUUUAAAGGGAGCGUAGGCGGGUUGUUAAGUCAGUUGUGAAAGUUUGCGGCUCAACCGUAAAAUUGCAGUUGAUACUGGCGACCUUGAGUGCAACAGAGGUAGGCGGAAUUCGUGGUGUAGCGGUGAAAUGCUUAGAUAUCACGAAGAACUCCGAUUGCGAAGGCAGCUUACUGGAUUGUAACUGACGCUGAUGCUCGAAAGUGUGGGUAUCAAACAGGAUUAGAUACCCUGGUAGUCCACACAGUAAACGAUGAAUACUCGCUGUUGGCGAUAUACAGUCAGCGGCCAAGCGAAAGCAUUAAGUAUUCCACCUGGGGAGUACGCCGGCAACGGUGAAACUCAAAGGAAUUGACGGGGGCCCGCACAAGCGGAGGAACAUGUGGUUUAAUUCGAUGAUACGCGAGGAACCUUACCCGGGCUUAAAUUGCAACUGACUGAACCGGAAACGGUUCUUUCUUCGGACAGUUGUGAAGGUGCUGCAUGGUUGUCGUCAGCUCGUGCCGUGAGGUGUCGGCUUAAGUGCCAUAACGAGCGCAACCCUUAUCGAUAGUUACUAGCAGGUCAUGCUGAGGACUCUAUUGAGACUGCCGUCGUAAGAUGUGAGGAAGGUGGGGAUGACGUCAAAUCAGCACGGCCCUUACGUCCGGGGCUACACACGUGUUACAAUGGGGGGUACAGAAGGCAGCUACACGGCGACGUGGUGCUAAUCCCGAAAGCCUCUCUCAGUUCGGAUUGGAGUCUGCAACCCGACUCCAUGAAGCUGGAUUCGCUAGUAAUCGCGCAUCAGCCACGGCGCGGUGAAUACGUUCCCGGGCCUUGCACUCACAGCCCGUCA